CUGCACAAAAUCACAAUACUGUAAUUACCUGAUGAACGCAAGCCUAGCUAAUCAAUCCCGAUGUGAUACCUGCAAGUGUGCGCGCUGCAAAUCGGCCAUCACUUGCAUUGUUUUAAAACGAGCGCGACGUUGGCGAGCGCGCUUGAGUCAGCAGGCGAGAGUGGGCGUGUUGCUCUGUAAGGAUCCCGAACCGAACUCAACUCGAACGACUGACCUACAUUCUCUACGACCCCUUCUACGGGAUCCUGUUCGUAGUCUUCAGCUCUGCGUUCAACACCAUCAUCACCGAACUCCUCUCCUCGAAGCUUCUCUAGAUCAGCGUCUCAUCCACCAUCUUCCAGUAUAUUUACUGCUUCCUAAGGCACAAUACCAAGCAGCAUAGCUGGGUGUCAAACUCCCGAAGUUUGCAGAUGACACCACAGUCAUCGGCCUCAUCAAAGAUGGUACGGCCAACAUAACCUGCAGCUGAACCGGCUCAAGACUGGAGAGAUGAUUGUGGACUUCAGGAAGUAUCCUUCACCACACCUCCCCCUCAGGCGGUCCAACUACACCGUGUCAACUGUUAUGACAUUCAAGUUCCUGGGAAUUACACUCUCUCAGGGUCUGAAAUGGGAGACCAACAUCAACUCCAUCCUCCAAAAGGCCCAGCAGAGGAUGUACUUCCUGCGGCUUCUGAGGAAGCAUGACCUGCCACGGGAGCUGUUGAGGCAGUUUUACAAAGCAGUCAGUCCUGUGUUUCUCCAUCACAGUCAGGUUUGGCGCUGCCGCAAAAAAGGACGACAACGGACAAUCAAAACUGCAGAAAAGAUUGUCGUAUCCUCUACCCACGCUUGAGGACUUAAGGAUGCUCCCUGAACUAAUAAAAUGUCUUACAGCUGACAUGGAUUUCCUCCACAUGCCCAAAGGUUAUAUAUCACACGAGUGAAGUGGUAUCAGUGUGUUAAUAUUGGAGCAUUUUUUGAUGCACAGUAUCAGCGCGGAUAUUGUUAUCAUAUUCAUAUUAAUUAGAUUCAGCGUUAUAGAAACGAAUGGAUGGCAUUAUGACUAAGCUUGUCACCAGUAAUUGAAGUGUACAGCUUUCAAGGUCAACAAAAUAGUUUGCACUCCUAGUGAAGACCUUUGCACCUCCUGUCCACGCAUGCACUUUUCAUUAGGAAUGCUGUGUUUCCAGUCAAUAAGAAAGGUCAAAGCUUUAUCUGGAUCCAUUCUACAAUGUGAAGGCUUGUUCCUUUUCUCGUAGCCGACUCCUCCUCAAAGUUUCCCAGAAGUCAGUUAAGUAGAAAGAAACGUCGCCUGAUAAAUACAUAAAUCGUCAUAGCUGGUUACGCCUCUAAAUAUGAGCGACCGACAAAGCCAUCAGACUAUUAGCGCUUAGCAAGUAACUGCACGAGGUUGCACGUGCUACCUACAUAUGCUCGUAACCUGUGCUUGUACGAUAAUUGCACACUCACACACCGUUUAUCGUACACAGAAACCCACGCUCACAGACAGAAGUCAUAUUUUGACGAGGUGGUGCCUCCUGUGGUGAGGCGAGCAACAUCAAAAGUCAAGCGGCAGCACCGCAUGCGGCAGGUUCACCGUGAAAUGAAGGGGAAAGUUGCAAUUGGAACCUAACGGCUUUAGAAUCUUCUCAAGACGUCUUGGGCUCAAAUGCGUGGUAUGUCCUGCUGAUGUCAGUGGAUUAGGGAGUGGGACCCCAGAAUACAUGGGCAGGAAUGCUGAGUGUGUGUCUGGAGGCGCCUCACGACCAGGAAUGCUGUUACGUCUUGAAGUGGCGCGAGCCUUAUGUGUCCAUCACGGAUGACAGCAGUUGAUGGCUGCGUGUUCCUGACGGGAGUGCCCGACAGGCAUGUCGCUCACCUCUUCAUAUGUACGUACACACCCACGCCAACACGACAGCCUGUGUGCAUCUUUUAGAUUUUGACUUUAGACACAAGAACUGACGCCACAACAAGCAGUUGUUUACAUAUAGAAAUCAGAGGCCGCAAGCUGUUUGUGGCCACACUCAGUCAAACAAAGCAUAUGGAACAAAGACAAUUAGAUGUCGGGAAUUUAAAAACAAGCGCAUCACUUUGGCCCUUUUUUCUGCAUGUUUGAGGCUAGCAAAGGAAACGCUAUAAACAGGCUAGUGAAAAGUACCUGUGUCUUUUCAUCAAGAAUGCAUUAGCAAUAACUGUUGUUUUUUUGGGUGGCUGAGACAGAUUGAAGGUAUUUCUAUUUAAUUCAAUGGGGAAAGAAGUUCCAAAUGUUUUGAGUUGCAAGCGUGGUCCCCAAACAAAUGACACUCAUAUCUCAGGACAGCACUGUAUAUGCUUUAAAAUGUCAUUUACUUGAG